AGGAACGUCAGGCGCUGGGAGAGUUUAAGUCGUUGAAGUGGUAGAAAGCGUUUCGGGUGGCGGAGGAGAUCCCUGCCAGUGCAGAGAAGCGUCCGCGGAAUCCAGGAAGUGAUGAGAGACCUGAACUCCUGCAGAGGAUACAGGAGGUGACUGUCAGGAGGCAAAGUGGAGAAGUACACACAGAUCUACCGGCUUAGCCAGGAGCCACCAGUAUUGGGAAGCUUGAACAAUGUGCAAUUUCCCUAUUCUAAGUCUCGACAUAGAACAUCAUCAGGCAGGAAGAGAGCCAGGUGACAAGGUGCUCUGGGAACGUCUGGUGAACCGAAGGGACUGCCUACUGGCCACAGUUCUUUUUCAACAAGGCUAAUGAUAAUGGUGGCCAGGAAUUUUUUUUCUCUCUGCCGGGUGUUGCAGAACCUGAACACUGAGGCCAUGUAAGUCUGAA
rnacentral:lncRNA from 1 species